CUUUCUUAAAAAAUUGGAUGAAGAUAUGAAUGAUUCUCCUUAAAGCUUCUUCUGCGAUUUUUAUCUAUUUAUGAUUUUCAGGAACUUUCUACCAAGCAUGAAGAUCAUUUAUGAGAACAAUGAAUGAUACAUAGAUAAUUGUGUCACAAUUUUGAGCAUUUUGCACAAGAUAAUGCAAUUUUUUGCUUUCAAGAUGUGUAUAAAAUAUAUUUAUCUAUAUGUAUAAUGAGGAUUAUUAAUAAAUAACUUCUCAUUCUAUUUAAAA